UUCUGAGACCAAAUUUCCCUCGAGAAAAUAUUGCAUUACAUGCAUGUAAACAUAUAUAUUUUGAACAUGCAAAAAAGUAGCGAAGAUCAAAGACCAAACAACAAUAGAAGGCUAGCUGAUAAGAUUACUCUAGACCCCAACAACGUUUGAAUAAAAUUUUUGAUGUUGUACAUCAAAACCAACAGAAAUUUUAUCGGUAGAUCUGCUGAUGCUGUGCCUUCAUUUUAUUUUUAUUUUGGCAUCUGCAAUAUAUAGAUCCAUCACGAAUCGAUAAUCCAUUAACAUAAGGGCCUCACAGCGUAUCAGUGCCUUUAUCACUAUCAAGAAUAAUC
rnacentral:misc_RNA from 1 species